GUGCGUGCCGGGCUGUCCCGGCUGAGCAGUCCCGCGGCGGGGCCCGGCCUGCCCGCCCCUUGCCCGGCCUGCCCGGCCCUUCCCCAGCACUGCCCCUGCCCGGCCUGCCCGCCCCUUGCCCGGCCCUUCCCCGGCGCUGCCCCUUCCCCGGCCCUGCCCCGCGUCCCCGCCCCUUCCUCCCGGCCGGCUCUCGGGUGCUGCCUGCGGCGCCGCCGCUGCCCUGGGCGCCGGGACGCGGCGGGUCCCUCCCCCGGAGCCGCCCAGGCACCUCCCUCGGGCCGCCGCGGUGAGUCACGACGGAGGAGGAGGCGGCGGCUCCGCUCGGCUCCGCUCCGCUGCUCUCGCCCGCCCGUGCCGAGCGCGCCCCGCCGCCGCCGGAGCGCCGGGGCCGCGGGCCCCGCACCAGAGCUGCGCCCUGUCCAUGAGCUUCCAUUGGCACGAGAGAGCAGAGGGAGCAGAACUAGAGGUGAGAAGACAUCAAAGAUCAGCAAAUUAACCAAAACCCAUUAGUUAGUACUGGAAUGAGGAGAACACUCUCCUGACUCUCAGAUUUAUUUUCAGCCUUAGUGUUGAGGAAGCAUUAUAUAACAAAUGCUCGAAAAAGUGAGGAAAGCUCAUUCUUGUUUCUGCUCACUGCUGGUGAUCUGACAGAACCCUGCCGAGCUUCUGUAGGGUUUAAAUGUCAGUCUGAAUUCAGAAAGUGGAGUCAUACUUCUUGCUUUUCAGUAAAUGCAUCCAAGGUUUUACAAGUAUCAAAUCUGCCAAGCCUAUUUCUGUUUUCAAAAAUAUAGAUAUAAUUAGUCAUGAUAUUUAAAAACAAACAAGACAGCCUAAAAAUCUCAAAAAACCCCUCUAAUAAUUUCAACUUCUUGCAUUAUUGGAAUUACUGUGACUGACUAAAUGAGCUACUGAUUGGGGAACAGAGGUGGAGUCAGUAAAUUUGUACAACCAUUCCACUUGUCUCAGGAUGUUCUGUUUUAUUCUAUGCAAAUACACGGACCAGGAAUUUAUUUGAUUUUUCACCAAGUCCAUUUUCUCUGUGUUAUAAGGGCAGCUAAAAAAUAUGGAAACAACUUAGGUAAUCAACUUUGUUUGUGACCAUGACCAAGCUCAGAAACCUUCUGACUCAGUUUAUCCUUCCAUAAAAUUAGUUGACUACUUCACAUGAAGGUGGAGAUGUUUAAUUAAAGUGUAAUUGUUUUGCCUCUGAACUCAUCCAGGUCCUGAUUCAAUGCACAGUGAAGUCAGUGAGGAGCUUUUAAUUAAUUUCCUUGAGCUUUAAAUAAGUACACAUGGACGUGCACCCUUAAAGGAAAUGUGACCUAAAUUUUUACAGCAGAAUUGCUGUAAAGGAGGAAUAUAAAUCCUGAAACAACUUCAGGUAAACUACUGAAGGAAGGCUUUUUGUAGAACUGAGGAGGGAAUAGUGCAGCUGCAGGGAUCUCUGGUGCCUGUUGCCAUUUUAAUGUAAUUUUAAUGGAGUUUCCUAACUUUGAGUGUGUUGGAUCUUAUGUGGGAAACUGGAAAUUUCUUUGUGCCUUGGCAGCUUGCUCAGUUGGUUGGGGGAGGCAGUAUCAGACUUCAAGAUAAACACAGUUAACUGAAUGUUUAUGCAAAACCAAUCAGCAAUAACACUUACAAUAUAAUUAACUUCAAGAGUUGAUGCCAAAUUGAGAAAAAUAGGAGCAUUCAUGUCUUCUUAGCUGCCUUUUUUCAGGAAUGUCUGUAGAUGCCAAAUAAUACUCGUAGGUUUAUGUGGAAUUCGUGAAAGGUUUUGCUUAACUUCAGAGGUCAGAAACAUCAGGUUUUGCUAAACAGAACUUUUAUUGCUGAAAUCUUGGUCAGCAGCUACAAUGAGCUUGGUAAAAUAAGCCUUUCACAGUUCACAUCGAGAUGCAACCAUUCUGUUACUGUUUCACUGUCCAGAUUCUUAGUUCAGUAACUUUUAUAAUCUACAUUUUAAUCUUUAAAUAAAGUACUGUGUGUGGAGCA
ensembl:lncRNA